rnacentral:antisense_RNA from 1 species
AAAGAUCGCAGCCUUCGGCAGCUCCUACAGGAGACCGCAUUUCCAUGUAGGAGCUGCCGAAGGCUGCGAUCUUU